CUGCAGUCAAUUAAACCGACUGGAUUCCUCUGCUGAUGAGUGCUCAGCGUGCAACGCCUGUGAACAGCAACCUCUUCAUUAGUACACACAGCCUGCUGCUUGUCUGCACUGCCCUAAGGAACCUUGGAGACACUG
ensembl:snoRNA SNORA70 Small nucleolar RNA SNORA70